rnacentral:rRNA from 1 species
GACGAACGCUGGCGGCGUGCUUAACACAUGCAAGUCGAACGGAAAGGCCCUGCUUUUGUGGGGUGCUCGAGUGGCGAACGGGUGAGUAACACGUGAGUAACCUGCCCUUGACUUUGGGAUAACUUCAGGAAACUGGGGCUAAUACCGGAUAGGAGCUCCUGCUGCAUGGUGGGGGUUGGAAAGUUUCGGCGGUUGGGGAUGGACUCGCGGCUUAUCAGAUUGUUGGUCGGGUAUUGGCUUACCAAGGCUUUGACGGGUAGCCGGCCUGAGAGGGUGACCGGCAACAUUGGGACUGAGAUACGGCCCAGACUCCUACGGGAGGCAGCAGUGGGGAAUAUUGCACAAUGGGCGGAAGCCUGAUGCAGCAACGCCGCGUGCGGGAUGACGGCCUUCGGGUUGUAAACCGCUUUCGCCUGUGACGAAGCGUGAGUGACGGUAAUGGGUAAAGAAGCACCGGCUAACUACGUG